rnacentral:tRNA from 1 species
GGAGGGGUACCCAAGCGGUCACCGGGAGCAGACUGUAAAUCUGCCGGCUCAGCCUUCGCAGGUUCGAAUCCUGCCCCCUCCACCA